rnacentral:rRNA from 1 species
UACGUAGGGCGCAAGCGUUAUCCGGAAUUACUGGGCGUAAAGGGCGCGUAGGCGGCCUGUUAAGUCGAACGUGAAAUCCCCGGGCUCAACCCGGGAACUGCGUCCGAUACUGGCAGGCUUGAAUCCGGGAGAGGGAUGCGGAAUUCCAGGUGUAGCGGUGAAAUGCGUAGAUAUCUGGAGGAACACCGGUGGCGAAGGCGGCAUCCUGGACCGGCAUUGACGCUGAGGCGCGAAAGCCAGGGGAGCAAACGGG